UACGUAGGGGGCGAGCGUUGUCCGGAAUCAUUGGGCGUAAAGAGCGUGUAGGCGGCCAUACAGGUCCGUUGUGAAAACUGGAGGCUUAACCUCCAGACGUCGAUGGAAACCGUAUGGCUAGAGUCCGGAAGAGGAGAGUGGAAUUCCUGGUGUAGCGGUGAAAUGCGCAGAUAUCAGGAAGAACACCCGUGGCGAAGGCGGCUCUCUGGGACGGUACUGACGCUGAGACGCGAAAGCGUGGGGAGCGAACAGG
rnacentral:rRNA from 1 species